rnacentral:rRNA from 1 species
UACGGAGGAUCCGAGCGUUAUCCGGAUUUAUUGGGUUUAAAGGGUGCGUAGGUGGAUCGUUAAGUCAGUGGUGAAAGUUUUCAGCUCAACUGAAAAAUUGCCGUUGAAACUGUCGAUCUUGAGUGCAAAUGAGGUAGGCGGAACGUGUUGUGUAGCGGUGAAAUGCUUAGAUAUAACACAGAACUCCGAUUGCGAAGGCAGCUUACUGGGAUGCAACUGACACUGAUGCACGAAAGCGUGGGUAUCAAACAGG